rnacentral:rRNA from 1 species
GACGAACGCUGGCGGCGUGCUUAACACAUGCAAGUCGAACGGAAAGGCCCUGCUUUUGUGGGGUGCUCGAGUGGCGAACGGGUGAGUAACACGUGAGUAACCUGCCCUUGACUUUGGGAUAACUUCAGGAAACUGGGGCUAAUACCGGAUAGGAGCUCCUGCUGCAUGGUGGGGGUUGGAAAGUUUCGGCGGUUGGGGAUGGACUCGCGGCUUAUCAGCUUGUUGGUGGGGUAGUGGCUUACCAAGGCUUUGACGGGUAGCCGGCCUGAGGGGGUGACCGGCCACAUUGGGACUGAGAUACGGCCCAGACUCCUACGGGAGGCAGCAGUGGGGAAUAUUGCACAAUGGGCGGAAGCCUGAUGCAACAACGCCGCGUGCGGGAUGACGGCCUUCGGGUUGUAAACCGCUUUCGCCUGUGACGAAGCGUGAGUGACGGUAAUGGGUAAAGAAGCACCGGCUAACUACGUG